rnacentral:rRNA from 1 species
UACGAAGGGGGCUAGCGUUGCUCGGAAUCACUGGGCGUAAAGCGCACGUAGGCGGCUUUUUAAGUCAGAGGUGAAAUCCUGGAGCUCAACUCCAGAACUGCCUUUGAUACUGAAGAUCUUGAGUUCGGGAGAGGUGAGUGGAACUGCGAGUGUAGAGGUGAAAUUCGUAGAUAUUCGCAAGAACACCAGUGGCGAAGGCGGCUCACUGGCCCGAUACUGACGCUGAGGCACGAAAGCGUGGGGAGCAACAGG